UACAGGGGGUGCAACCGUUGCUCGGAAUCAUUGGGCGUAAAGCGCACGUAGGCGGUUAUUUAAGUCGGAUGUGAAAGCCCUUGGCUCAACCGAGGAAGUGCAUCCGAAACUGAGUAGCUGGAGUACGAAAGAGGGUCGCGGAAUUCCCGGUGUAGAGGUAAAAUUCGUAGAUAUCAGGAGGAACACCGGUGGCGAAGGCGGUUCUCUGGGCCGUAACUGACGCUGAGGAGCGAAAGCGUG
rnacentral:rRNA from 1 species